CAGGACGACGCUGGCGGCGUGCCUAAUACAUGCAAGUCGAACGGUCUUUCUAUGGAAGCUUGCUUCCACUGAAAAGAUAGUGGCGAACGGGUGAGUAACACGUGGGUAACCUGCCCAUAAGAGGGGGGAUAACAUCCGGAAACGGGUGCUAAUACCGCAUAGUUUUCUUGAUCGCAUGAUCGGGAAAGGAAAGACGGCCUUUGUGCUGUCGCUUAUGGAUGGACCCGCGGCGUAUUAGUUAGUUGGUGAGGUAACGGCUCACCAAGACGAUGAUACGUAGCCGACCUGAGAGGGUGAUCGGCCACAUUGGGACUGAGACACGGCCCAAACUCCUACGGGAGGCAGCAGUAGGGAAUCUUCCGCAAUGGACGAAAGUCUGACGGAGCAACGCCGCGUGAGUGAAAGAAGGUUUUCGGAUCGUAAAACUCUGUUGUCAGAGAAGAACAAGUUGGAGAGUAACUGCUCCAGCCUUGACGGUAUCUGACCAGAAAGCCACGGCUAACUACGUGCCAGCCGCCGC
rnacentral:rRNA from 1 species